UGGGGAAUAUUGGACAAUGGGCGAAAGCCUGAUCCAGCCAUGCCGCGUGUGUGAAGAAGGUCUUCGGAUUGUAAAGCACUUUAAGUUGGGAGGAAGGGCAGUAAGCGAAUACCUUGCUGUUUUGACGUUACCGACAGAAUAAGCACCGGCUAACUCUGUGCCAGCAGCCGCGGUAAUACAGAGGGUGCAAGCGUUAAUCGGAAUUACUGGGCGUAAAGCGCGCGUAGGUGGUUCGUUAAGUUGAAUGUGAAAGCCCCGGGCUCAACCUAGGAACUGCAUCCAAAACUGGCGAGCUAGAAUAGGGCAGAGGGUGGUGGAAUUUCCUGUGUAGCGGUGAAAUGCGUAGAUAUAGGAAGGAACACCAGUGGCGAAGGCGACCACCUGGGCUCAUACUGACACUGAGGUGCGAAAGCGUGGGGAGCAAACAGG
rnacentral:rRNA from 1 species